CGUUCGACUCCCCGAACCCGAACGUUCUCGGCAACCUUCGGGAGCGCUCGGGGCCGGAGGGCGGGGCGGGACCCAGGCCGCCUCAAGCCGGACCCUCAGGCGGGGCUGGGGCCGCCCAGGGCGGGCAGGGACACGGCCUGACCCGGGCGGACCAGCGUCCGGCCGAGACCACCCCCAGCCUGGCGCGGCGGGAGCCCCUCGGCCGCGGAAGCUGAGCCGGUUCGCUGCUCCCAGGAGCCUCCGGACGCUGCCUGGGGCUGCACCGCCCCCAGAUUUUGUGGACUCGAACAGCAGGAGCUUCUUGAUUUUUCUGAAGAUUCAAAAACUUUGCCAAGAACAAAUGUCCUUCAAUCAAGUUCGACUGAAAACAUUAACAGGCUACAGUCAGUGGCACAAAUGACUGCAAUCCCUUGCUACAUGUAUCAGCAACAAAAUGGUCCUGCCUAGCUGUAUGAGCCUUUGUAGCAAGAAAAUCACCUGGCACACUCCCUGUAUUUGUACAGCUAGUAGCAGAAGUGCCUUUUUGAAGCAAGCCUUCAGAUACGAAAUGUUACAAAGCUGGUUUCUGAUUAUUUAUAGGUUUUUCUCGAGAGCUGAGUAAAGAAUAAUCAGGGGAAAAGGUAGGCUUUUUUUCCUCAUACAACCCUUCAAUUGAGUUUUCUGCUUUGAUAUAGGUUCUAAGUCACUUUUACACAGGAGAUUAUAUUAAAUUAAAAUAACACUAUAAUCGUUUUAAUUCUUAAUGUAUAAUCCAGUCUUCUUUUUUUCUCCUCCAGAAAUGUCUGAUGGUCCAAAUUAAACCAUUUCAUCCUACGGCUUUAAGGACUUUUCUUCUCCUCAUCACCUAUCUCAUUUCUAAAUAACUAACAGGAAAAUUUACAGAUAAAGAUGAGUACUGAUUGAGAAGGAGCCCUGCUUUUGAGGCAUUGUCAUUUCUCAAAAAUCAGGUUUCAACUGCUUACCCUUAGGCACAGAAAUGUUGGCUAAUCUAAAAGAUUCUGGGCUACUGGGAGACUUGCACAAUCUUCUUGACUUUUACCUUUUUGCAGAAGCUUCUCUCUAUGGCAACUUCUUAGGUCAGACAUAAAACCUGAACCCCACUGUCACCUUGCCAUGGUCUGGGCAGAGUUAAUGCUCUGACCAGCUUGAAAAUAUUCACUGAAGCUGCCACUCGGUUGUCCUGCACCUGAAUGCAGCAUUUCAAGGAGAAUAUUUUUUUUGUCUAGCACGCACCCCUUAGUUUUGGGGGAGGGAGUCCUCUUUUCUUUUUAGCUAAGCCUAGAAAGUGUUUGGUAAUUUGACUCACAUAAAAACUUGUAUAGCGACAAAUUAAAAGAACCAUUUUAUCUAAGAUAUUGACAAGAAACAUCUAGAAUACACUAAUGUGAUGUUCUAGGGACUGAAAAAAAUAGGUAAGAGACAUAAUAGCAACUUUUAUUUUGAUGCAUAGAAGCGAUCCAAAAAAACUCUGGGAUGGAAGCUCUGAAAACACGAAGUACAAAUUUAAAGAAGUGAUGUGUAGGCUUUUGUGAGAAGACAAAAAAUAGGCAAUUCAGUAACAGGUUUUCAGUUAAGCAAUUUGAAGAGCUCUCUUCUUUUUUGCAAAUACAAUCUGUGGGAACAGAGAACCCUUUUAAAGAUUUCACAAAUCUGAGAGACAAAGAAGCAUUCUCUGUCAUGAAAAAAAUGUAUUUUACAUUAAAAUAAAAGAAAUUUGAUAUA